rnacentral:rRNA from 1 species
UUAAAAGGUCAAGCUACAAAGGGCGUAUGGUGAAUGCCUUGGCAUCAGGAGCCGAUGAAGGACGCGAUAAGCUGCGAUAAGCUUCGGGUAGACGCACAUAGUCAGAGAUCCGAAGAUUUCCGAAUGAGGAAACUCACAUGGGAAACCCCAUGUAUCAUAAAGUGAAUAAAUAGCUUUAUGAAGGUAUACCCAGGGAACUGAAACAUCUAAGUACCUGGAGGAAGAGAAAGAAAAAUCGAUUUUCUUAGUAGCGGCGAGCGAAAAGGAAAGAGCCCAAACCAGAAAUUUAUUUCUGGGGUUGCGGACAGAACAUAACGAGAAAUCAUAGUUAAUUGAACACAACUGGAAAGUUGGACCACAGUGGGUAA